rnacentral:lncRNA from 1 species
CUGCUUGUCUCAAAAGCAAUCCAGGUUUAAUGGUGGACAUCUGUUAACGUACGAAGAUGCAGAAUGACGCUUUUUGAUUUGAUACUUUAAAACAGUGGUUCUUUUUUUUUUUUUUAAAGAUUUAUUUUUUUCCUUUUUCUCCCCAAAGCCCCUCGGUACAUAGUUGUAUAUUCUUCAUUGUGGGUCCUUCUAGUUGUGGUAUGUGGGACGCUGCCUCAGCGUGGCUUGAUGAGUAGUGCCAUGUCUGCACCCAGGAUUCGAACUGACGAAACACCGGGCUGCUUGCAGCGGAGCGCAUGAGCUUAACCACUCGGCCACGGGGCCAGCCCCAAAACAGUGGUUCUUUUUUAACCCUACCAGACCCAACUCAACACACACCACUUUUUAUAAAAAAUAUUCUAUAACAUCACUACAAUUAUUAAAUGAAAGUCAUGGAUGAUAAAAACUACCUUCACACAUAAAAGCAUCACCCCCAUUUACUGUUCCCAAAUGAAAUUAACGGGUAAUGUAACUGACCUCUAUACGUACACAUCAAUAUAAUGUCCUAAGUGGAAUAUAAACAAAUACAGAUAUUUCAUAAUGAAAUAACUGUUUUAAUAUGUAAAUCCUCUAGGAUGAUUAUAUUACAAGAUGCAAUGAAAUAACACGGCACAUACUUGCGUCUGUAUAUAACAUCACCAGGCAUGUGGCAGCUGCAAGUGCAGACCAGGGCGGUCCGGCCAUAUUGGCAACUCAACACCAGGAGCAGGAUUGAUGUUGGCAAUAUGCUUUUCUAAAAUGUGGCCAGUGUUCCAGACCAAGCAGAGGUCUCCAACAGCGACACACAUACAAUGCUUGCUAGAUGCCUGGCAUUGUUCUAAAUACUCACCUAACAACUUUAUGAGGUGGAUGCCACUGUCAUUCCCAUUUUACAUGAGGAAGUUUCCAAGUAUUCGCAGCUGAUGCUGGCAGAGCUGGGAUUAAAAUCGAAACAAUCUAGCUCUGGCAUCCUUGCUCAUAAUCACUUUACUGUACAGGCUUCCUUCGAUUUAUAGAAUAUCUGCGUUCCUGAAAAAGCCAAUGUAUAUUAAAACCGGGCUAAAAAUUCCCUGUGUGUUUAUAUGUAAAAUAAAAUUAUAGCC